rnacentral:rRNA from 1 species
UACGCAGGUAGUUGAGGAGAGAAUCCUAAGGUGUGCGAGAGAACUCUCGUUAAGGAACUCGGCAAAAUGACCCCGUAACUUCGGGAGAAGGGGUGCUGACCGCAAGGUCAGCCGCAGUGAAUAGGCCCAAGCGACUGUUUAUCAAAAACACAGGUCUCUGCAAAAUCGAAAGAUGACGUAUAGGGGCUGACGCCUGCCCGGUGCUGGAAGGUUAAGAGGAGAGGUUAGCGCAAGCGAAGCUUUGAAUUGAAGCCCCAGUAAACGGCGGCCGUAACUAUAACGGUCCUAAGGUAGCGAAAUUCCUUGUCGGGCAAGUUCCGACCCGCACGAAAGGCGUAACGAUUUGGGCACUGUCUCAACGAGAGACUCGGUGAAAUUACAGUACCAGUGAAGAUGCUGGUUACCCGCGACAGGACGGAAAGACCCCAUGGAGCUUUACUGCAGUUUGAUAUUGCGUGUUUGUAUCACAUGUACAGGAUAGGUAGGAGCCGAAGAUACCGGGACGCCAGUCUCGGAGGAGGCAACGGUGGGAUACUACCCUUGUGAUAUGACCACUCUAACCCGCUGCUCUUAGCGAGCAGGGAGACAGUGUCAGACGGGCAGUUUGACUGGGGCGGUCGCCUCCAAAAAUGUAACGGAGGCGCCCAAAGGUUCCCUCAGAAUGGUUGGAAAUCAUUCGUAGAGUGUAAAGGCAGAAGGGAGCUUGACUGCGAGACCUACAAGUCGAGCAGGGACGAAAGUCGGGCUUAGUGAUCCGGUGGUUCCGCAUGGAAGGGCCAUCGCUCAACGGAUAAAAGCUACCCUGGGGAUAACAGGCUUAUCUCCCCCAAGAGUUCACAUCGACGGGGAGGUUUGGCACCUCGAUGUCGGCUCAUCGCAUCCUGGGGCUGUAGUCGGUCCCAAGGGUUGGGCUGUUCGCCCAUUAAAGCGGUACGCGAGCUGGGUUCAGAACGUCGUGAGACAGUUCGGUCCCUAUCCGUCGCGGGCGUUGGAAAUUUGAGAGGAGCUGUCCUUAGUACGAGAGGACCGGGAUGGACACACCGCUGGUGUACCAGUUGUUCUGCCAAGAGCAUCGCUGGGUAGCUAUGUGUGGACGGGAUAAACGCUGAAAGCAUCUAAGCGUGAAGCCCCCCUCAAGAUGAGAUUUCCCAUCACUUUAAGUGAGUAAGACCCCUGAGAGAUGAUCAGGUAGAUAGGUUGGGAGUGGAAGUACAGCGAUGUAUGGAGCGGACCAAUACUAAUCUGUCGAGGACUUAACU